AUUGAACGCUGGCGGCAGGCUUAACACAUGCAAGUCGAGCGGUAGCACAAGAGAGCUUGCUCUCUGGGUGACGAGCGGCGGACGGGUGAGUAAUGUCUGGGAAACUGCCUGAUGGAGGGGGAUAACUACUGGAAACGGUAGCUAAUACCGCAUAACGUCGCAAGACCAAAGAGGGGGACCUUCGGGCCUCUUGCCAUCAGAUGUGCCCAGAUGGGAUUAGCUAGUAGGUGGGGUAAUGGCUCACCUAGGCGACGAUCCCUAGCUGGUCUGAGAGGAUGACCAGCCAAACUGGAACUGAGACACGGUCCGGACUCCUACGGGAGGCAGCAGUGGGGAAUAUGGCACAAUGGGCGCAAGCCUGAGGCAGCCAUGCCGCGUGUGUGAAGAAGGCCUUCGGGUUGUAAAGCACUUUCAGCGAGGAGGAAGGUGGUGAACUUAAUCCGUUCAUCAAUUGACGUUACUCGAAGAAGAAGCACCUGCAAACUCCGU
rnacentral:rRNA from 1 species